UGGUGCGAUCAUACCGGCAUUAACGCACCGGAUCUCGUGAGAACUUUGAAGUUAAGCAUGCUUGGGCGAGAGUAGUACUAGGAUGGGUGACCUCUUGGGAAGUCCUCGUGUUCCAUCCC